GCAUAGCAACAGCAGCGUAGCUGAACAUCUUACGGAUGGCCCAGGGCUCCAAAGGCUCGUUUCCUAAGUGAGAGAGAGCCUGGCUGAAGCUGUAUUACCAUUCAUUCUCCAGCCUCCGAAGUCUCAAAGCAUCACUUCCACCAUACUCUAACUGUCAAGACAAACACAAAGGCCCAGAGAAGGGGUCUCACUAUGUUGUCUGGAGUGCUGUGGUGGAGUGGAGUGGCUAUUCACAGAGCCUGUUCUGCUGGGACACAGAAUCACUUGCUCCAUCUCAUACAUUGAUGAUGAUUAAUUUGUAUGUGUACCUUCCAAAAAAGAUGGUUGUGUUUGAAUGGAGGCCUUCUGGACAGGAAAAUAUGGAGAGUGCGUGCUUUGGAUUCAAGACUGGGAAUGAGGGGACCAGAAACCUAUUCUGUGGCUGUUUCUUGUUAGGACUUUCCUAAGCCUCUGGAAAAGUGCAAAGUACAAUUAACAUUUGAGUCUGUCUGAGUCAUGAAGAAAUGGAGAUUACUGAAAAUAAUUCAUUUUGGUAUCUUCUUACAUCCUGAGAGACUAAUCUUUCCAAGUUCAUCUGAGGCUCCUCUUCUCCAUGACAACCUCAUCCAGGGAUUUCUUCCUGUCCUGGUGUUUUAUGACAUAAUCACAUCCUUCCUGAGAUAAUGAGCACACAAUUGCCUGGAUACCUGAAGGAAUGGAGACAGCGGCAGAAAACACUGCAGAGAGGUGGAAACAUCCGUUAAUAUUUUAAAAUCCCAUUACUGCUACCAACAAUAAUAAUGGAUGCAUAGAAAUAGAUCUGGAUUAGCUGAGCUUGAAACAGUCCAUCUCACACACACACAAAAGAAUUUCAGGUAAUGAAGAAAAGAAAA
rnacentral:lncRNA from 1 species